UAGAAGAACCAGAAUUUUGGCCUGGAUGGAAGGAGCAGUUCAUUCCGUCAGACAAGACCUCCUGGGUGGAUAAGGAUUGUAACUUUAAAGAUAAGUUGAUGCAUAUAUCCAGGCCAAGAGCUGCGGAUUGAGGAUAUUUUCAGGACUCAUCACUCCUCCAAUAUGAAGAUCCCCUGAGACGCGUAGUAUAAAUUCCUUUUGCUCCUCUUCAUACUGAUGAUCAACUGUCACCAGGAGCUCCCAAGAGUUGGACCCAUAUUCAUUUGAGGAAAUCAUUUCUGCCCUUACAGCUCCAAAAUUAACACUUGGUGUGGAAAUACAAGAGGACGUCUUUUGUACUACAGCAAGAACAGAUCCACUUUAAGGGGAGCAAAGCUUGCAUGGGUGUGGGGUCUGACGCCAGGCGGGCGCCCAGUGGAGGCAUUUAAGGAAGUGCCAGACUGA